rnacentral:rRNA from 1 species
CCUACGGGGGGCAGCAGUGGGGAAUAUUGCACAAUGGGGGAAACCCUGAUGCAGCGACGCCGCGUGAGUGAAGAAGUAUUUCGGUAUGUAAAGCUCUAUCAGCAGGGAAGAAAUAGCGACCUUUGGGUCGCCAGACGGUACCCACAGAGGAAGCACCGGCUAACUCCGUGCCAGCAGCCGCGGUAAUACGGAGGGUGCAAGCGUUUUCCGGAAUCAUUGGGGGUAAAGAGUUCGUAGGCGGCAUGUAAAGUUAGGUGGUAAAGGCGCAGGCUCAACCUGUGUAUGGCACUUGAUACUUGCAAGCUGGAAUGCGGUAGAGGUAAAGGGAAUUCCUGGUGUAGCGGUGAAAUGCUUAGAUAUCAGGAAGAACAUCGGUGGCGAAGGCGCUUUACUGGGCCGUAAUUGACGCUGAGGAACGAAAGCCUGGGUAGCAAAUAGGAUUAGAUACCCCAGUAGUC